UCUCCGUAGGUGAACCUGCGGAGGGAUCAUUACAGCCUUCUCGCCCUCGUGGGUAGAUCUCCCAGCCUCUGUUACCGUUACUGUCGUUUCUUUGUCGGGCCGCCAGGUCUCCGGCCGCCCGCGUCCAAUAUGCGGCGCGCGCCCGCCAGAGGCCUUCGAACCCUGAAUGUUAGUGUCUGCUGAGUACUAUAUAAUAGUUAAAACUUUCAACAACGGAUCUCUUGGUUCUG
rnacentral:misc_RNA from 1 species